AACGCGAAGAACCUUACCUGGGCUCGAAAUGUAGUGGACCGGGGUAGAAAUAUCCCUUUCUAGCAAUAGACUGCUAUAUAGGUGCUGCAUGGCUGUCGUCAGCUCGUGUCGUGAGAUGUUGGGUUAAGUCCCGCAACGAGCGCAACCCUUAUCUCUAGUUGCCAUCAUUUAGUUGGGCACUCUAGUGAAACUGCCUCGGAUAACGAGGAGGAAGGUGGGGAUGACGUCAAGUCCUCAUGGCCUUUAUGUCCAGGGCUACACACGUGCUACAAUGGUCGGUACAAACCGUCGCAAACCCGUGAGGGGGAGCUAAUCGGAAAAAGCCGGCCUCAGUUCGGAUUGGAGUCUGCAACUCGACUCCAUGAAGCUGGAAUCGCUAGUAAUCGCGGAUCAGAACGCCGCGGUGAAUACGUUCCCGGGCCUUGUACACACCGGUACUA
rnacentral:rRNA from 1 species